rnacentral:rRNA from 1 species
UUCCUACGGGCGGCUGCAGUGGGGAAUUUUGGACAAUGGGCGAAAGCCUGAUCCAGCCAUGCCGCGUGAGUGAAGAAGGCCUUCGGGUUGUAAAGCUCUUUCGGCUGGGAAGAAAUCGCACUCUCUAAUACAGGGUGUGGAUGACGGUACCAGCAUAAGAAGCACCGGCUAACUACGUGCCAGCAGCCGCGGUAAUACGUAGGGUGCGAGCGUUAUUCGGAAUUACUGGGCGUAAAGCGUGCGCAGGCGGUUGGGUAAGACAGACGUGAAAUCCCCGGGCUCAACCUGGGAACUGCGUUUGGGACUGCACGGCUAGAGUACGGCAGAGGGGGGUGGAAUUCCACGUGUAGCAGUGAAAUGCGUAGAGAUGUGGAGGAACACCGAUGGCGAAGGCAGCCCCCUGGGCCAGUACUGACGCUCAUGCACGAAAGCGUGGGGAGCAAACAGGAUUAGAUACCCCUGUAGUCU